rnacentral:rRNA from 1 species
AAAUACCGAGGCGUUCGGGUGAACUAUGGUUAAGGAACUCGGCAAAAUGCCCCCGUAACUUCGGGAGAAGGGGGGCCAUCACCGGUGAUCCGUUUUACACGGUGAGCUGGGGGUGGCCGCAGAGACCAGCGAGAAGCGACUGUUUACUAAAAACACAGGUCCGUGCGAAGCCGUAAGGCGAUGUAUACGGACUGACGCCUCCCCGGUGCUGGAACGUUAAGGGGACCGGUUAGUCACAAUUCGUUGUGGCGAAGCUGAGAACUUAAGCGCCAGUAAACGGCGGUGGUAACUAUAACCAUCCUAAGGUAGCGAAAUUCCUUGUCGGGUAAGUUCCGACCUGCACGAAUGGCGUAACGACUUCUCGACUGUCUCAACCAUAGGCCCGGUGAAAUUGCACUACGAGUAAAGAUGCUCGUUUCGCGCAGCAGGACGGAAAGACCCCGGGACCUUUACUACAGUUUGAUAUUGGUGUUCGGUUCGGCUUGUGUAGGAUAGCUGGGAGACUGUGAACUCUGGACGCCAGUUCAGGGGGAGUCGUCGUUGAAAUACCAGUCUGGUCGUGCUGGAUGUCUAACCUGGGUCCGUGAUCCGGAUCAGGGACAGUGUCUGAUGGGUAGUUUAACUGGGGCGGUUGCCUCCUAAAGAGUAACGGAGGCGCCCAAAGGUUCCCUCAGCCUGGUUGGCAAUCAGGUGUUGAGUGUAAGUGCACAAGGGAGCUUGACUGUGAGACCGACGGGUCGAGCAGGGACGAAAGUCGGGACUAGUGAUCCGGCGGUGGCUUGUGGAAGCGCCGUCGCUCAACGGAUAAAAGGUACCCCCGGGGAUAACAGGCUGAUCUUCCCCAAGAGUCCAUAUCGACGGGAUGGCUUGGCACCUCGAUGUCGGCUCGUCGCAUCCUGGGGCUGGAGUCGGUCCCAAGGGUUGGGCUGUUCGCCCAUUAAAGCGGUACGCGAGCUGGGUUUAGAACGUCGCGAGACAGUUCGGUCCCUAUCCGCUGCGCGCGCAGGAACAUUGAGAAGGGCUGUCCCUAGUACGAGAGGACCGGGGCGGACGAACCUCUGGUGUGCCAGUUGUUCUGCCAAGGGCAUGGCUGGUUGGCUACGUUCGGGAGGGAUAACCGCUGAAAGCAUCUAAGCGGGAAGCCUGCUUCGAGAUGAGUGUUCCCACCCACUAGAUGGGUUAAGGCUCCCAGUAGACGACUGGGUUGAUAGGCCGGAUCUGGAAGGCGGGUAACCGCUGGAGGUGACCGGUACUAAUAGGCCGAGGGCUUGUCCUC